GUAGGGAAUCUUCCACAAUGGACGCAAGUCUGAUGGAGCAACGCCGCGUGAGUGAAGAAGGGUUUCGGCUCGUAAAGCUCUGUUGUUGAAGAAGAACGUGGGUAAGAGUAACUGUUUACCCAGUGACGGUAUUUAACCAGAAAGCCACGGCUAACUACGUGCCAG
rnacentral:rRNA from 1 species